rnacentral:rRNA from 1 species
GAUGAACGCUGGCGGCGUGCCUAAUACAUGCAAGUCGAGCGAAUGGAUUAAGAGCUUGCUCUUAUGAAGUUAGCGGCGGACGGGUGAGUAACACGUGGGUAACCUGCCCAUAAGACUGGGAUAACUCCGGGAAACCGGGGCUAAUACCGGAUAACAUUUUGAACCGCAUGGUUCGAAAUUGAAAGGCGGCUUCGGCUGUCACUUAUGGAUGGACCCGCGUCGCAUUAGCUAGUUGGUGAGGUAACGGCUCACCAAGGCAACGAUGCGUAGCCGACCGGAGAGGGUGAUCGGCCAGACUGGGACUGAGACACGGCCCAGACUCCUACGGGAGGCAGAAGUAGGGAAUCUUCCGAAAUGGACGAAAGUCUGACGGAGCAACGCCGCGUGAGUGAUGAAGGCUUUCGGGUCGUAAAACUCUGUUGUUAGGGAAGAACAAGUGCUAGUUGAAUAAGCUGGCACCUUGACGGUACCUAACCAGAAAGCCACGGCUAACUACGUGCCAGCCGCCGCCGUAA